rnacentral:rRNA from 1 species
GCAAGCUGUACUUGUACAGCGAAGUGGUUGAUGCCAUGCUUCCAGGAAAAGUCUCUAAGCUUCAGUUACACAGGAAUCGUACCCGAAACCGACACAGGUGGUCAGGUCGAGUAGACCAAGGCGCUUGAGAGAACUCUGCUGAAGGAACUAGGCAAAAUGGUACCGUAACUUCGGGAGAAGGUACGCUGUUGUUGGUGAUGGAACUCGCUUCCUGAGCUGACGACAGCCGCAGAAACCAGGCCGCUGCAACUGUUUAUUAAAAACAUAGCACUCUGCAAACACGAAAGUGGACGUAUAGGGUGUGAUGCCUGCCCGGUGCUGGAAGGUUAAUUGAUGGGGUUAGCGUAAGCGAAGCUCUUGAUCGAAGCCCCAGUAAACGGCGGCCGUAACUAUAACGGUCCUAAGGUAGCGAAAUUCCUUGUCGGGUAAGUUCCGACCUGCACGAAUGGCAUAAUGAUGGCGGCGCUGUCUCCAGCAGAGGCUCAGUGAAAUCGAAAUCGCUGUGAAGAUGCAGUGUACCCGCGGCUAGACGGAAAGACCCCGUGAACCUUUACUGCAGCUUGACACUGAACUUUGACCUUACUUGUGUAGGAUAGGUGGGAGGCUUUGAAGCUGGAACGCUAGUUCCAGUGGAGCCGUCCUUGAAAUACCACCCUGGUAAUGUUGAGGUUCUAACUCUGUCCCGUGAUCCGGGACGAGGACCGUGUCUGGUGGGUAGUUUGACUGGGGCGGUCUCCUCCUAAAGAGUAACGGAGGAGUACGAAGGUGCGCUCAGCGUGGUCGGAAAUCACGCGUAGAGUAUAAAGGCAAAAGCGCGCUUAACUGCGAGACCCACAAGUCGAGCAGGUACGAAAGUAGGUCUUAGUGAUCCGGUGGUUCUGUAUGGAAGGGCCAUCGCUCAACGGAUAAAAGGUACUCUGGGGAUAACAGGCUGAUACCGCCCAAGAGUUCAUAUCGACGGCGGUGUUUGGCACCUCGAUGUCGGCUCAUCUCAUCCUGGGGCUGAAGCAGGUCCCAAGGGUAUGGCUGUUCGCCAUUUAAAGAGGUACGCGAGCUGGGUUUAGAACGUCGUGAGACAGUUCGGUCCCUAUCUACCGUGGGCGCUGGAAAUUUGAGAGGAUCUGCUCCUAGUACGAGAGGACCAGAGUGGACGAACCUCUGGUGUACCGGUUGUGACGCCAGUCGCAUCGCCGGGUAGCUAUGUUCGGAAGGGAUAACCGCUGAAAGCAUCUAAGCGGGAAGCCUACCUCAAGAUAAGAUUUCCCUAGGACUUUAUGUCCUCUAAAGAGCCGUUCGAGACUAGGACGUUGAUAGGUUGGAUGUGGAAGCAUAGUGAUAUGUGAAGCUGACCAAUACUAAUUGCUCGUGAGGCUUGACUAUACAACACCCAAGCAGUUG